GUCAUAAGUCGGACUCAGAGGAGCCAGGAAGUAAAUGUGAGCCAUGCAGCUCAUGCGACGGGUAAAGUAGCGCGAGCGAGCGUCUGUUGUCAGCAGUCGGAGAUCACACGCGCGGGAGUGAGGAAGAACAACAAGAAGCCAACGGCAAAUUACUGCCAAAUCUAGUGCAGCACAGAUCACACACCUCACAAGAGGCGGAAUCCGAAGAAGGUUUUAUUUCUAAAAGAACACGAAGCUCAUUGCAACACACUCCAUCAUUAGAAGAAGAAAAAAGACGGAAGGAAAUAAGAGCGGGACUGGCGAGUUUCAAGGCAACGCUUCACUCUCUUUGCAAGUUUAGACAAAUACAAUUAACAAAAUUGAUCAAAACGCGUUCAAGAUGCCUCGGGUGGUCCCGGAUCAGAGGAGCAAGUUCGAGAACGAGGAGUUCUUCAGGAAACUCAGUCGCGAGUGCGAGAUUAAAUACACCGGUUUCCGCGACCGGCCGCACGAGGAGAGGCAGGCGCGCUUCCAGAACGCGUGCCGUGACGGCCGCUCAGAGAUAGCUUUUGUGGCGACCGGCACCAACCUCUCGCUGCAGUUCUUCCCAGCCAACCUUCAUGGGGACCAGCGGCAGGCGCCCACCCGAGAAUAUGUGGACUUCGAGCGGGAGACAGGAAAGGUGUACCUGAAGGCUCCUAUGAUCCUGAAUGGAGUGUGUGUGAUCUGGAAAGGAUGGAUUGAUCUUCAGCGUCUGGAUGGGAUGGGUUGUCUGGAAUAUGAUGAUGAGAGAGCACAGCAGGAGGAUGCUCUAGCCCAAGCAGCCUUUGAGGAAGCCCGCAGAAGGACUCGUGAUUUUGAGGACAGGGAUCGCUCGCACCGUGAGGACUUGGAGCAGAUGCCGAUGGCACAGCUCAGUCAUUUAAUAACUCAGGAGGACCCUGUGGCAUCAAAAAUCUGGGACUGAUGGCCUUCAAGGACCAGGGUCUGUCUCCUCUGCUUCUCUCUAUCCUUGUGUCAUGCACUAAACCGUGUCUGUGUCUCCCAGGCGACAGCAGGACCCCAGCCCUGGCUCCAACAUGGGCAACACUGAUGAUCACAAGAUGCGCUAGCGGCAUUCACCAAAGUGGGCAGGGAUGGGGUCACAAGACCUCCAUCACCACAGCAAUCUCAUCUCCUGAUGCCUUGUUUAUCACAGGACAGACCAAAGUCCACACCGGUGGGGAUUUUCGGGUGGGAUGUUUGGGGAAACGGCCUGGUGAAGGGGCUGGGUGGGUUGGGCUGGGCUCAGAGAUUCAUUCGCAUUUGAUUCAGUCCCUCGUUUCUUCUUGGGAUUUUUGCACUAUGUGAUACGUUCAGUUUAAGUCCCCCAUAUCGCCUUUCGGUAUGCAUGGUUUCCCUACCUAUGUUUGCUCUUGUUCCCCCCCUAUGCAAGGCAUCUUAUUUUGUCCCAUUGUAAUGAAAUGGCAUUUUUUCAAUUAUUUGAUUCGUAUUGUGUGUGAAAGUCAGGAUGUUUACUUUUUUGUAUUUUCAUUUCAUUUCUAUAUAAACAUGUCUGUCUUUGUGCUACUGUACGUAGUAGAAGCUAGUAAAUGUUGCUAGGUAGAUUUGUGCAGUAGAAUAGAACUUUUUUGAUGUCUAAAAAGAAAAAUCUAGAAAGAGGCUGCUGAUGUUGUGGAUGAGGAGGUCUUUUCUUCUCCAUGUACUCUGUCUUCCACUCUCUUCCUGUGACAGUCAGUUAAAACAUGCUUCAAACAGCAGGAAGUGAAUAUUGAGGUCAGUGUUAGUGCGCUUUACACAAAAUGAGAGUUUUUCGCCCUACAUCUGCUUGUUCUGUCAUUAAUGUCAAUGUUCUACACGUUUAGUUCGUUUUAAGCAGGCUUUUCAUAGUGUUUUGCUACAUAUUCUAAUUUACUCUGGACUUCUUGAAA